rnacentral:rRNA from 1 species
GAUAAACGCUGGCGGCGUGCAUGAGACAUGCAAGUCGAACGAAGGAUCGGGCUUGCUCGAUCCUUAGUGGCGGACGGCCGAGUAACGCGUAGGUGACCUACCCCGACGUGGGGAAUAACUGCCCGAAAGGGUGGCUAAUACCGCAUGUGGUCGCACGUUCAUUCGUGCGAGUAAAGCCGCAAGGCGCUUCGGGAGGGGCCUGCGUCCGAUUAGCUCGUUGGUGGGGUAAUGGCUUACCAAGGCGACGAUCGGUAGGUGGUCUGAGAGGACGAUCACCCAGACUGGGACUGAGACACGGCCCAGACUCCUACGGGAGGCAGCAGUCGGGAAUUUUGCUCAAUGGGGGAAACCCUGGAGCAGCAACGCCGCGUGAGGGAUGAAGGCCUUCGGGUUGUAAACCUCUUUUGUCAGGGACGAUGAUGACGGUACCUGGCGAAUAAGCCACGGCUAACUACGUG